rnacentral:rRNA from 1 species
GAUGAACGCUGGCGGCGUGCUUAACACAUGCAAGUCGAACGAUGAAAGCGGGAGCUUGCUCCUGCUGGAUUAGUGGCGAACGGGUGAGUAACACGUGAGCAAUCUGCCCCGAACUCUGGGAUAAGCGUUGGAAACGACGUCUAAUACCGGAUACGACGCGCGAAGGCAUCUUCUGCGCGUGGAAAGAACUUCGGUUCGGGAUGAGCUCGCGGCCUAUCAGCUAGUUGGUGAGGUAACGGCCCACCAAGGCGACGACGGGUAGCCGGCCUGGGAGGGGAGCCGGCCACACUGGGACUGAGACACGGCCCAGACUCCUACGGGAGGCAGCAGUGGGGAAUAUUGCACAAUGGGCGCAAGCCUGAUGCAGCAACGCCGCGUGAGGGACGACGGCCUUCGGGUUGUAAACCUCUUUUAGUAGGGAAGAAGCGAAAGUGACGGUACCUGCAGAAAAAGCACCGGCUAACUACGUGCCAGCCGCCGCUGUAAGAC